GACGAACGCUGGCGGCGCGCUUAACACAUGCAAGUCGAACGGAAAGGCCUGCUUUUCCUUGUGGAUUGCGGGUACUCGCGUGGCGAACGGGUGAGUAACACGUGAGUGAUCUGCCCCCAACUUGGGUAUAAGCCUGGGAAACUGGGUCUAAUUCCCGCUAGGACUGCAGGGUGGUGUCGGUGGUGGCAAACGUUUUUCUAGUGGUUGGGGAUGAGCUCGCGGCCUAUCAGCUUGUGGGUGGGGUAAUGGUCUACCAAGGCGGGGACUGGUAGGCGGCCCGGGGUGGUGGACCGGCACAGGGGGACGGAGACACGGCGAAGGAGACUACGGCAAGAAGCAGUGGGGAAUAAUACACGGUGGGCGGAAGACAGAUGCAGCGACGCCGAGGGGGCGAUGACGGCCUUGGGGUUGUAGCCUCCUGGCGGUCGCGAGGAAGCCACCUGGAUGGAGGGGUAGUGACGGUAGUGGUAGAAGAAGCACCGGCUAACUACGUG
rnacentral:rRNA from 1 species